rnacentral:lncRNA from 1 species
CUGUAAAGAACAAAAAAUUGGUUUCUUUCCCCCUUACUUAUAUUCCCUAUCAAAAAAUGUUCGUUGUUAGAAUAAAGUACAGAGAACGUCUGAAGGAUUUGCGUUCAACUGCAAUUAUAUUGUAUGCUGGCGAAACAAAACUAUUCAUAGCCGCUGCAUGUUUAUGCACCUGUCCUGAUUGAUUCAGGGGCCUGUCGUUCGGCAGUUAUCGUUUGUUGAUGUUGUUCAUUGGUAUUUUCCCGUUUUGAUAUAUAAAUUAGAUCGUUUGUUUUCCUGUUCGAAUUGUGUAUGCUAAUAAUUUUGGGGUCCUUUAUAGCUUGCUGUUUGGUCUGUAUCAGAGCCCUGUGUAAAAGGCCGUACUUUGACCUGUGUUUGUUAUUAUCAGCAUGUUGAGAACAACCCUCCCUCUGACAAGGGGUCAUUUUACUGAUGUAGAAAAGAAAAUAGAAAUACCAAGGAUUUGUACUAUAAGUCUUCUAUACAAAACCUUUGAAAACUUAGAAUUUUGUACUCAAAAAGUGGAGAGUUACAUCAUAUUUUAAACAACUUUUUUCUAAAAGAGGGGUCCACUUAUUUUGAAUAAUAUUAAACUGUUAAAGUAAAUGUGUUAAUUUAACAUGGUUAAAGUCCAGAAAUAUUACAAAAUUCUUGGACAUGUUUUGACCAUUUAAUACUAGAUAGAUAUAUAGUUCUUUGAGAAAAUAUGAGCCCUUUUGUACAAACAAAUAUAUUAUAACUUAUAUUGAUCCCUCAUAAAACAUGUAAAAGGGAUAUUUAUAACAUAAAGGGGUUGUCCCCAAACUUAUUAUGACUUGGAUGGAGAAUUGUCUCAUUGUCAGUCACACAUACAUCAUUUGUACAUAGACCAGAUUUAAUUAUUUCUUGGUGAACAGGGAAAAAAUACUUCAGAAAUUAAAGAAAUGUCAAAGUACAAGUGAUAAACAUUGAUAAAUCAAGUCUUAAUAUUGUCAAAACCUACUAUUUUAUGUUUACAAAAAAAAAUU